GUAACUUUGGAAAAAAUUAUCUGGAUGUUCAUUGAUAUUCAUCCUGAAUAAGGAUUUUGCUGCAGUUUAAGUCUCCUGUUUCUCUUCCAAGUUUCUAAUACUGCUUUUCUAAGAGGUGAGUGGCUUGAUCAGGGUCGGAACUAAUAAUACAGACCCAGGCCUGAGUGCCCAUCAGUAACCAUUUCUGCAAGUUCCUCUCCCUAAGAGGACAAGUGUCCUGAUCAAAGAAGAGGAGGGUAACUUGAUUUUGCAAGCAAAGGGAGAGACCAACGCACAGGGUCCUAGACACAUUUGCGCUGACCUCAAAAAGUUUGGGAGGGGGCAGGGAAGAAGCGGGGAGCUCCGGUACCUUUUUUGGACUCUGAGCUCGGUUAGGUGCAGAACUCAGCGCUCUGUGCUGCCAGACCGAGUCUUCUCCGAAACGGGCAGCCUGGCGGGGAGGCAGGCACACGUCCCUCGCUCUCCGCGAGUCAGCCGCGGAGUCAGCCGAGAGGAGACCCAGGCGCUGGGCGCUGCCUCCUGCUGACCCGCUGCCUGCAGCACCGAAAGAGCCGAGAGCACGCAGGAGCCGCGCGGGACCCGCAAGGGGACCGGCAAUCUGUGCUCCUCUAGAAGCGGAGGAUGGCGAGGAGAGCCCACGAGAAGAAUAAAAGGUCUCAGAAAGCUACAAGCCCCCAGAUCUUCUUUAGACCAAAAUGCUUAAUUGAAAAUAACAUGAAUUCAAGCUCAAAGGCCAUUAAGGAGCAGACCUAUGGACAAAAAAUAUUUUGGAAAACGAUUGCUUCUUCUCCCUUUCCCCAAAGCCCGUCUAGUCAGCUUUUUAUAAAAACAAUAAUGAAGAAUAAGGCAUGCCUGGGUGGCUCAGUCGAUUGAACUUCCCACUUGGGCUCAGGUCAUGAUCUCAUGGUUUGGGAGUUGGAGCCCUGCAUCUGGCUCUCUGCUGUCAGUGUGGAGCCUGCUUCGGAUCCUCUGUUGCUCGCUCUCUUUCUCUCUCUCUCUCUCUCUCUGCCCCUUCCCCACUCAUGUACUCUCUUUCAAAAAUAAAUAAACUUAAAAAAAAUAUUGAAGUAUAGUUGACACAAAGUUAUAUUAGUUUCAGGUGUAC
rnacentral:lncRNA from 1 species